rnacentral:rRNA from 1 species
GCUUUGUGGAUGCUUAAGUACAACUUCCGUUACACUUACUUUGUUUCGACUUACUCCAAAUUGGAAUUGACGGGCGAUGUGAGCUAAGCAAAUAAUUUUUUCUAACUAAUAUUAAGAAAAUACUAUCUAAUCCUAAAAAAUAUGGUCUUUCAAAUUUUUUCAAUAAGUUAGGCAUUUGGGCCUGUUAUUCACUAGCUUUUAUUAAGUCUAGUUUAACGGCAAUACACCAUUUUUAGCUUUUUGUAGAACAGUGGGUUAUCGGAUUUCAAAAGCCUCAGAGAAAUUUGCUUCCGCCAGGUUUUUUAAGUUUUUUAAUUAUACUGCUCAAUUUUUAAUAACUUAAUUUUUUUCUUAACUUACAGCGGUAUCUAAUCGCUUUUAUUAAAUUUAAGAUUUUUUCUUUGGAUUUAAAAUACUUUAUUUUUUAAUUUUAUCUAUAAAAGUAUUUUUUAUUAUUAAAUAUUAUUAAUAAAGUUUGAUUUGGCGGGGACCGUCUAGCCGCGGGUGCUGGCACGGUUAUUAACCCCCAUAACUACUCUUUCUUUAAAAUUUUUAAAAUUUUCUGCACUGGGAUUUUUUAAUUUUUUCCCCCCAUGUACUUAGUUCCAAAAUUUAAUGGUAUUCCCGAGACAAAAAAAU